GUGCUUCAGUAGCACAUACACUAAACUUGAAACAAUACAGAGAAGAUUAGCAUGGCCUGUGGGCAAGGAUGACAUGCAAAUUUGUGAAGCAUUCCAUAUGUUU
ensembl:snRNA U6 U6 spliceosomal RNA